GAGUUUGAUCUUGGCUCAGAUUGAACGCUGGCGGCAGGCCUAACACAUGCAAGUCGAGCGGAUGAAGGGAGCUUGCUCCUGGAUUCAGCGGCGGACGGGUGAGUAAUGCCUAGGAAUCUGCCUGGUAGUGGGGAUAACGUCCGGAAACGGGCGCUAAUACCGCAUACGUCCUGAGGGAGAAAGUGGGGGAUCUUCGGACCUCACGCUAUCAGACGAGCCUAGGUCGGAUUAGCUAGUUGGUGGGGUAAAGGCCUACCAAGGCGACGAUCCGUAACUGGUCUGAGAGGAUGAUCAGUCACACUGGAACUGAGACACGGUCCAGACUCCUACGGGAGGCAGCAGUGGGGAAUAUUGGACAAUGGGCGAAAGCCUGAUCCAGCCAUGCCGCGUGUGUGAAGAAGGUCUUCGGAUUGUAAAGCACUUUAAGUUGGGAGGAAGGGCAGUAAGUUAAUACCUUGCUGUUUUGACGUUACCAACAGAAUAAGCACCGGCUAACUUCGUGCCAGCCG
rnacentral:rRNA from 1 species